CUGUCUCAUAUCUCCCACCGCCAUGUGCCAGCUGAUAGGGGAGCUGUGACAUACCACACCCCGGUGGCUGGGAAGGGGGUCACAUGGACUGGUCUCAUCCAGAGCACUUUAAAGAAACUGAUAAGCUCUAUCUCAUUUAACUUGGCCUUUGGAAGACGCUUGUGGAAAUUUCUGCAAAGGAGGUGACAUCAGUUGUUGUCACAGCUGCUGUGCCUUACAGUGACCUUAUUGGUGGCUGACUCCAGAGAGACAUCUCAUGAUUCUGAGUUAAGAAUUUCUCCAUCUCCAAAAUCGGGACUUUGCAACUCUAAAGUCAAGAGGGAACUACAUAUAUAUAGGUGCAAUUCCCUAAUACUGGCCACAGAGUGAGGAUUAAGUUACUCCUAUGUGUCUUCAGAGGAAGAAUGCAUAUCACAGUCCCGCUCUGACAGCGUAGGCUCAGUGAAAUGAAGAAGAACAAGUUUUCUAUUGUUGUGCACCAU